AUGUACAUAACCUACAUAUAGCUUACGCAUUUCCUCGUGGUGAAAUUUUUGUGCAUAAACCGUUUAUUCUGAGAAAUCUCUGUGGAUCGGUGCUAGUACCAAGCGUGAAUAAUAAUUAACCAAGGACAGAGGUCAGGAGCCCGUUUCGUCGUUGCAGCCUGAGUGCGCAUAAGUACAUAGACGGGGUGCUCCACGAGAGGAGUAUCACCGAAGUGAUCCUCCAACCUAAAAGGGGUACCCUUCGACCCCCCUCUACUGACGGAAACGCUGAGCACCGAAAACCUCUGACUUGGGUCAACUUUAUUGAGGCGUCGCAACCCUUAGGAAGCCCAGUGCAAAAGGGGGCGCCUCGGAACUUUAUUCAACUCCAGUGAGAAGACCAGUUUGUCGCGCACUGUAGUGCCAAUGUAAGCUGCAGCUUGACCUGCAGUCGGAUGUUCCCCGCUUAAGCCCAGUGUGAAGAAGACCAGAACAUUGGGCGUGAUAUUUGACGGGCAUGCCUACAGAGUAGCCGCCGCCGACGCUACAGAAAGAUGUCCGUAGUUGCUCUGUGUUAACUUACACAUUUUCGGGAUUUGAGUUAAUAUGCCUUUUUAAGGCCAAUUCUCUGGCGGAGAUAUAUAGAAAUGUAUUUUUUUGAGCAUCGGGAAUUAUGAGUGUUGGUAGAAAAGAGUGGAAACCAGCACCUACGUCAUCCAUGAGCUCAUCGAUUACGAAAGGAGUAAGGGUUUUAAAAUAUCAAAACCAAACGAAAACUGUGAGUUUGUAAACUU